UAUAUUGUAGAAAAUAUUUAAUAGUCGAGAUAAGAUUACUGUUUAUUUCAUCCCAAUGCCUGAGAGUGUUGGGACGUCGUAAAUUGGAUAAGUGAUUUUUUAUUAUAUCGGUAAUAUAAUUUUGAGACGGACGUUAACAUGAAAAUUAGUAGUGAUAAUUUAAAAUUAUUCUUCGGUGAUCUUUCUUUUCAAUUCGAAGAUUCGGGAAAAUGAAAUGUGAAAAACUAUGUUGGGGAUGAAAGGAUUUCGAUCAAUCGUAGAUCUUGUCGCAGGAGUGGAGUUAAUAGGACUUAGGAUUUAUAGGAUGAAGUAGAAAAGAGAGAGAAAAAACCAGAAACUCGCAUAAUUUUUAUAAUAAAAUUGAUAUAUAAAAUAUCUAUUCAAAAUCUGAAUUAAAGGAGUAUGAAAAUGUAAAUAAAUUAAAUAUUAUAAUUUACGUUGCGAUCAAGAGGGAAAAAAAGAAAAAAAAAAAAGAAAAGGAAGGAAAAAAGAGUCUCACGUAAUACAAGAGUGGAAAAAGUCUCACGUAAUUUAUUAAAAAAAAAGAAAA